CUGUCCAUGGCCAGGGUUGGCGGCCUCACCCAGGUGGCCCCAGCGUCCUGCCGAGAAAAGGAAUUUGUGCUGCACCUGUCAAGUUUCAGAGCAUUCUCUCAUUGUCGGUUUCUCCCGGGUCAGAGACCCCCUGUCUUUUUGGGGGUGUUCACACCAAGUGAUACUCAGGAGUUACUCCUAGAUCUGUGCUCAGGAAUCACUCCUGGCAGUGUUUGGGAGACCAUAUGGAUGCUGGGGAUUGAACACAGGUUGGCCGCGUGCAAGACAAACGCCCUCCCUGCUGUACUAUCACUCCGGCCCCUGCGUCAUCCAAAUCUCAAAGGACCAUAUGGUACCAGGGACUGAACCAAGAUUGGCCAUGGCACGCCUGCACCUUCACCUCUGCACUGUCUUUGGUCCUCUGAUUGUUUCCAUAGGGAGCUACGCUGGGCAGUGCUUGGGGGUCUUGAACCACUGGCAGUGCUCUGAGGUCACACCCGGAGACCUCACUAAGCGCUAGACAUCAAACCCAGAACCUCACAGGUGCCAGGUCCAUGCUUCAGCAUUCACGCCCUCCCCUGGCCCAGUGCCCCGCUCACUGCUGUGAUGUCAAAUAUGGCUGUUAUCUUCCUUUCUUUUCUUGUUAAUUGUUGGCGAAUGGAAAUGCAGCCAUUGGUUUGUUUCUUUCUUUGGACCCUUGCCCAGCGGUGCUCAUGCCUGACUCCUGGCUCCGUGCUUCGGGAUAGCUCCUGGUCGGACUUAGGGAACCCUGCACAUGUGCAGGGCAGCGGUCACAUGUUGGGGAUGGACUGAGCUAUCAGGGCGAGCCUACAUAGACUGUAUUACAGACAGGAACAUUUUCCCCCUUCAAGCUGCCUUCAGAAAAUAAUUUCAGUAUAUUGAAAAGAGCAGUUUUCCUUCUCUCACAGAAGCCUUGCUGAUCUUUGGCAUGCAGAUCUCAGGUGUUAGCCAGACCUGACCUUUGAUAUUGUAUAAAUUGUAGGCUCUGGCCCAGCCUAGUCUUUGGGAUGUAGAUUUCAGGUGGGGGGGUGGAAAGUUUGUAUUUGAAGUGUAGAUUUCAGCUGGCAACCCAGCCUUGUCUUUGGAAUGUAUAUCCAAAUGCUUGUAGCCCAAGAAAUGUUUUGGUUUUGUAUCUUUCCGGAGGCCAAAAUUACUGGCCUGCAGAUGCAAGGAAACAAUGCAUGUUUUGCUGCCUCAAUGUUCUUUCUGUAACUUCUUUUGAUGCCUUGAUGAUGUGAUCAAUAA